rnacentral:rRNA from 1 species
AACGAACGCUGGCGACAUGCCUAACACAUGCAAGUCGAACGAGACCUUCGGGUCUAGUGGCGCACGGGUGCGUAACGCGUGGGAACCUGCCCUUAGGUUCGGAAUAACUCCCCGAAAGGGGUGCUAAUACCGGAUGAUGUCUUCGGACCAAAGAUUUAUCGCCUUUGGAUGGGCCCGCGUUGGAUUAGCUAGUUGGUAGGGUAAAAGCCUACCAAGGCGACGAUCCAUAGCUGGUCUGAGAGGAUGAUCAGCCACACUGGGACUGAGACACGGCCCAGACUCCUACGGGAGGCAGCAGUGGGGAAUAUUGGACAAUGGGCGAAAGCCUGAUCCAGCAAUGCCGCGUGAGUGAUGAAGGCCUUAGGGUUGUAAAGCUCUUUUACCCGGGAUGAUAAUGACAGUACCGGGAGAAUAAGCUCCGGCUAACUCCGUG